UGGCUCAGUGGUUAAGAGCACUUGCACUUGCACUUGCAGAGGACCUGGGUUCAAUUCCCAG
rnacentral:tRNA from 1 species